UCCGGUUGAUCCUGCCGGACCUGACUGCUAUCGGGAUGAGGCUAAGCCAUGGAAGUCGACGUGCGCCCUUGCGCACGUGGCGUACGGCUCAGUAACGCGUGGCUAACCUGCCCUCGUGACGGGGAUAACCUCGGGAAACUGAGGAUAAUCCCCGAUAGGCGAGCGGCUUUGGAAGAACCGCUCACCGAAAGGGACGGAGGAAAUGGCCUUCGUCCGCGCGAGGAUGGGGCUGCGUCCCAUCAGGCAGUUGGUGGGGUAAUGGCCCACCAAACCUAUAACGGGUACGGGCCGUGAGAGCGGGAGCCCGGAGAUGGGCACUGAGACAAGGGCCCAGGCUCUACGGAGCGCACCAAGCGCGAAACCUUCGCAAUGCGGGAAACCGUGACGGGGCCAUCCCGAGUGCAGGCUGCUGAGGUCUGCUUUUGCCCAGUGUAAGAAGCUGGGCGAAUAAGUGGGGGGCAAGACUGGUGUCAGCCGCCGCGGUAAUACCAGCUCCACGAGUGGUCAGGACGGUUAUUGGGCCUAAAGCGUCCGUAGCCGGCCCGGUAAGUUUAUGGUGAAAUCCGGCAUCUCAAGUGUCGGAGCGCUGUAAAUACUGCCGGGCUAGGGAGCGGGAGAGGCCGAGGGUACCUCCGGGGUAGGGGCGAAAUCCUAUAAUCCCGGAGUGACGACCAGUGGCGAAAGCGCUCGGCUAGAACGCGUCCGACGGUGAGGGACGAAAGCUGGGGUAGCAAACCGGAUUAGAUACCCGGGUAGUCCCAGCCGUAAACUAUGCGGGCUAGUUGUCGGAACGGCUUAGGGCCGCUCCGGUAACGCAGGGAAGCCAUUAAGCCCGCCGCCUGGGGAGUACGACCGCAAGGUUGAAACUUAAAGGAAUUGGCGGGGGAGCACCACAAGGGGUGAAGCUUGCGGCUCAAUUGGAGUCAACGCCGGG
rnacentral:rRNA from 1 species